GAGACAUUGACAGCUUGCAAGCGUGUUUGCUCUAUUUGUAAAUGAAACUGAUGCAGUCAAAACAGGAAAAGGGUAACUUUUGAAGAGAGGCGUGAGAGCUUUUGACUCUUCCAGGAAAGAAGAAGUUUGCUGACCUAGUAUAAAGACAGGAAGGCCGGAGUCGAGAUCCAAACCCCAAGCCUCCGAACUGUCUGGCAGCCGUGCUGACCACUAUAAAGCCACAUCCU